rnacentral:rRNA from 1 species
GACGAACGCUGGCGGCGUGCUUAACACAUGCAAGUCGAGCGGAAAGGCCCUUCGGGGUACUCGAGCGGCGAACGGGUGAGUAACACGUGAGUAAUCUGCCCUUGGCUUUGGGAUAACUACCGGAAACGGUGGCUAAUACCGGAUACGACAACCGUCUGCAUGGGCUGGUUGUGGAAAGUUUUUUCGGCCAGGGAUGUGCUCGCGGCCUAUCAGCUUGUUGGUGGGGUAAUGGCCUACCAAGGCUUCGACGGGUAGCCGGCCUGAGAGGGUGACCGGCCACACUGGGACUGAGACACGGCCCAGACGCCUACGGGAGGCAGCAGUGGGGAGUAUUGGACAAUGGGCGGAAGCCUGAUCCAGCAACGCCGCGUGAGGGAUGACGGCCGUCGGGUUGUAAACCUCUUUCAGUACCGACGAAGCGCCGAUGAUGGUGGUGACGGUAGGUACAGAAGAAGCACCGGCCAACUACGUG